rnacentral:rRNA from 1 species
CCUACGGGAGGCUGCGGUGGGGAAUAUUGGACAAUGGGGGGAACCCUGAUCCAGCCAUGCCGCGUGUGUGAAGAAGGCCCUCGGGUUGUAAAGCACUUUCAGUGAGGAAGAACGCCUGGUGGUUAAUACCCAUCAGGAAAGACAUCACUCACAGAAGAAGCACCGGCUAACUCCGUGCCAGCAGCCGCGGUAAUACGGAGGGUGCGAGCGUUAAUCGGAAUUACUGGGCGUAAAGCGCGCGUAGGUGGCUUGAUAAGCCGGUUGUGAAAGCCCCGGGCUCAACCUGGGAACGGCAUCCGGAACUGUCAAGCUAGAGUGCAGGAGAGGAAGGUAGAAUUCCCGGUGUAGCGGUGAAAUGCGUAGAGAUCGGGAGGAAUACCAGUGGCGAAGGCGGCCUUCUGGACUGACACUGACACUGAGGUGCGAAAGCGUGGGUAGCAAACAGGAUUAGAUACCCUGGUAGUC